rnacentral:snoRNA from 1 species
AGGCCGUGAUGGGGACACUUGCGUAAUAGCUCCUUGAACCUUUCCCAAGUUUCAUAUAAGGAUUCCCCGUCCUCUUGUGAGUAUGUAUUAAUUUCAGCAU